AGGGCGCACGGUGGAUGCCUUGGCACUAGAAGCCGAUGAAGGACGUGACUAACGACGAAAUGCUUUGGGGAGCUGUAAGUGAGCAAUGAUCCAGAGAUGUCCGAAUGGGGGAACCCGGCAGGUAAUGCCUGUCACUCAUUACUGUUAAGGUAAUGUAGAGGAAGACGCAGUGAACUGAAACAUCUAAGUAGCUGCAGGAAGAGAAAGCAAAAGCGAUUGCCUUAGUAGCGGCGAGCGAAACGGCAAGAGGGCAAACCGAAGAGUUUACUCUUCGGGGUUGUAGGACUGCAACGUGGACUUAAAGAUUAUAGAAGAACUACCUGGGAAGGUAGGCCAAAGAGAGUAAUAGCCUCGUAUUCGAAAUAGUCUUUAUACCUAGCAGUAUCCUGAGUACGGCGAGACACGAGAAAUCUCGUCGGAAUCUGGGAGGACCAUCUCCCAACCCUAAAUACUCUCUAGUGACCGAUAGUGAACCAGUACCGUGAGGGAAAGGUGAAAAGCACCCCGGGAGGGGAGUGAAAUAGAACCUGAAACCGUGUGCCUACAACAAGUUCGAGCCCGUUAAUGGGUGAGAGCGUGCCUUUUGUAGAAUGAACCGGCGAGUUACGAUAUGAUGCGAGGUUAAGUUGAAGAGACGGAGCCGUAGGGAAACCGAGUCUUAAUAGGGCGCAUUAGUAUCAUGUCGUAGACCCGAAACCAUGUGACCUACCCAUGAGCAGGUUGAAGGUGAGGUAAAACUCACUGGAGGACCGAACCAGGGCACGUUGAAAAGUGCUUGGAUGACUUGUGGGUAGCGGAGAAAUUCCAAACGAACUUGGAGAUAGCUGGUUCUCUCCGAAAUAGCUUUAGGGCUAGCGUCGAUGUUAAGUCUCUUGGAGGUAGAGCACUGUUUGGGUGAGGGGUCCAUCCCGGAUUACCAAUCUCAGAUAAACUCCGAAUGCCAACGAGAUAUAAUCGGCAGUCAGACUGCGAGUGCUAAGAUCCGUAGUCGAAAGGGAAACAGCCCAGACCACCAGCUAAGGUCCCAAAAUAUAUGUUAAGUGGAAAAGGAUGUGGGGUUGCACAGACAACUAGGAUGUUAGCUUAGAAGCAGCUAUUCAUUCAAAGAGUGCGUAAUAGCUCACUAGUCGAGUGACCCUGCGCCGAAAAUGUACCGGGGCUAAAACAUAUUACCGAAGCUGUGGAUACCUUUAUAGGUAUGGUAGGAGAGCGUUCUAUGUGCGAAGAAGGUGUACCGUGAGGAGUGCUGGAGCGCAUAGAAGUGAGAAUGCCGGUAUGAGUAGCGAAAGACAGGUGAGAAUCCUGUCCACCGUAAGACUAAGGUUUCCAGGGGAAGGCUCGUCCGCCCUGGGUUAGUCGGGACCUAAGGAGAGACCGAAAGGUGUAUCCGAUGGACAACAGGUUGAUAUUCCUGUACUAGAGUAUAUAGUGAUGGAGGGACGCAGUAGGCUAACUAAACCAGACGAUUGGAAGUGUCUGGCCAAGCAGUGAGGUGUGAUAUGAGUCAAAUGCUUAUAUCUAUAACAUUGAGCUGUGAUGGGGAGCGAAGUUUAGUAGCGAAGUUAGUGAUGUCACACUGCCGAGAAAAGCUUCUAGCGUUAAUUAUACUCUACCCGUACCGCAAACCGACACAGGUAGUCGAGGCGAGUAGCCUCAGGUGAGCGAGAGAACUCUCGUUAAGGAACUCGGCAAAAUGGCCCCGUAACUUCGGGAGAAGGGGCGCUGACUGAUGGUCAGCCGCAGUGAAUAGGCCCAAGCAACUGUUUAUCAAAAACACAGCUCUCUGCUAAAUCGUAAGAUGAUGUAUAGGGGGUGACGCCUGCCCGGUGCUGGAAGGUUAAGAGGAGUGCUUAGCGUAAGCGAAGGUAUGAAUUGAAGCCCCAGUAAACGGCGGCCGUAACUAUAACGGUCCUAAGGUAGCGAAAUUCCUUGUCGGGUAAGUUCCGACCCGCACGAAAGGCGUAAUGAUUUGGGCACUGUCUCAACGAGAGACUCGGUGAAAUUUUAGUACCUGUGAAGAUGCAGGUUACCCGCGACAGGACGGAAAGACCCCAUGGAGCUUUACUGCAGUUUGAUAUUGAGUAUCUGUACCACAUGUACAGGAUAGGUAGGAGCCUAUGACCUCGGGACGCCAGUUUCGAGUGAGGCGUUGUUGGGAUACUACCCUUGUGUUAUGGCUACUCUAACCCAGAUAGGUUAUCCCUAUCGGAGACAGUGUCUGACGGGCAGUUUGACUGGGGCGGUCGCCUCCUAAAAGGUAACGGAGGCGCCCAAAGGUUCCCUCAGAAUGGUUGGAAAUCAUUCGCAGAGUGUAAAGGUAUAAGGGAGCUUGACUGCGAGAG
rnacentral:rRNA from 1 species